AAAAAAAAAAAAAAGAACCGAAAAUUUAUUUAUCUCCGAAAAUAUUAUUAUUGUCUCAAAAUCUCGGCGUUUCGCGAUUCUCACUCUUCUCUCUCUCACCCAACCUCGAUUUUCUCUCUCUAGUUUCUCUCUCAUCAUCGUCGCGCUUCCUUCGCAGAAAAUCUCUGAGAUUUUCGCUAUUUCCAGAACGAUCAAAAAAUUCCAUCGAUCUAUCUAUACAUCAACACCCUCACCAACAAAAUCAUCACAACAAGAAUCCCUCCCUUUAUCUUCGGAUUUUUUCCCUUUUCGCCACAUAAGCCCUAGAACUAGAAAUUUUCAUUCAUUCACCAACCACCGUUAA